AUUGAACGCUGGCGGCAUGCUUUACACAUGCAAGUCGAACGGCAGCAUGGGUGCUUGCACCUGAUGGCGAGUGGCGAACGGGUGAGUAAUGUAUCGGAACAUAUCCGCAAGUGGGGGAUAACGUAGCGAAAGUUACGCUAAUACCGCAUAUUCCCUGAGGGGGAAAGGAGGGGAUCCGCAAGGACCUUUCGCUUACGGAGUGGCCGAUAUCAGAUUAGCUAGUUGGUGAGGUAAAGGCUCACCAAGGCUUCGAUCUGUAGCGGGUCUGAGAGGAUGAUCCGCCACACUGGGACUGAGACACGGCCCAGACUCCUACGGGAGGCAGCAGUGGGGAAUUUUGGACAAUGGGGGCAACCCUGAUUCAGCCAUGCCGCGUGGGUGAAGAAGGCCUUCGGGUUGUAAAGCUCUUUCAGCUGGAAAAAAAUCGCUUCACCUAAUACGUGGAGUGGAUGAUGGUACCAGCAGAAGAAGCACCGGCUAACUACGUGCCAGCCGCCACCGUAACAC
rnacentral:rRNA from 1 species